rnacentral:lncRNA from 1 species
GGCAGAUAGGGCUUGGAUCUGGAAUAAGUAAAUCCUUGCUUUGGUGUGAGUCUUCUUGCCUUUGACCUCAUUUAUGUGCUACAAUUUUUUCACUGGCUUCUGGAAUUCUCAGAAAGUCCCUCUGGGAUUACAAGAGUGUUGAAGCAACGUUGUGACACAUCGGAACACCUUGAAAUACAUGGACACUUUCAAAUCAUUAAAGACUCUCAAGGACAAAGAAAAGAGACAUGCAAGUACGACAGAAAGUACUACACACCACCCAGAGAUUGAAACUGAAGGUGUGACAACAGAGAAAAGAGAGAGUAAAGAAAAGUAAAACAAAGGAG